rnacentral:rRNA from 1 species
AUUGAACGCUUGCGGCAGGCCUAACACAUGCAAGUCGAACGAGUGGCGGACGGGUGAGUAAUGUCUGGGAAACUUCCUGAUGGAGGGGGCUAACUACUGGAAACGGUAGCUAAUACCGCAUACCAUCGGAUGUGCCCAGAUGGGAUUCGUUUGUUGGGGGGGUAACGGCGCACCAAGGAGCAGAUCCCUAGCUGGUCUGAGAGGAUGACCAGCCACACUGGAACGGAGACACGGUCCAGACGCCUACGGGAGGCAGCAGUGGGGAAUAUUGCACAAUGGGCGCAAGCCUGAUGCAGCCAUGCCGCGUGUAUGAAGAAGGCCUUCGGGUUGUAAAGUACUUUCAGCGGGGAGGCGUUACCCGCAGAAGAAGCACCGGCUAACUCCGUGCCAGCCGCCGCGGUAAUUC